GAUGAAGAACGUAGCGAAAUGCGAUACUUGGUGUGAAUUGCAGAAUCCCGUGAACCAUCGAGUCUUUGAACGCAAGUUGCGCCCGAAGCCAUUAGGCCGAGGGCACGCCUGCCUGGGCGUCACACGUCGUUGCCCCCCCAUCUACUCCUUCGGGAUUGCGGGGGGCGGAUGAUGGCCUCCCGUGCGCCUCGCCGCGCGGUUGGCAUAAAUGCCAAGUCCUCGGCGACGCACGCCACGACAAUCGGUGGUUGCGAAACCUCGGUUGCCCGUCGUGUGCGGUCGUCGCGCAUCGAGGGCGCGAAAAAAUUGCCGGGUUCCGGCUCGGCUUUCAACGCGACCCCAGGUCAGGCGGGGUUACCCGCUGAAUUUAAGCAUAUCAAUAAGCGGAGGA
rnacentral:misc_RNA from 1 species